AAUAGAAAAAAAAGACACUUUUAACCAGACAGUGGCUUGGGCUGUCCACAUAGACAUCUCUGCUCUUGAGCCAUCACCUCAGCUGACUUGUGUUGAAGAUGGGACAUUUUACUCUUGUGGCUUUCACAGCAGUGCUGUUUUCCCUUUUCGUGGAAUCCGAAGCAAACCCAUUUGUUUACAAUUACGAAGGGCUAAAAAUUGGAGGGCUCAUCUUCACCGGCCUCUUAAUAGCUGGAGGGGUCAGCACCUUACUCUAUAAGAGAUGCUCCAUGAUAGGAAGCAAAAGAACUGACAAAAGUGAAAUCUGAUAACACUCCUGACAAACCGGUUUCAUCCCGGAAGAGGCGUUAAAAGGGAAUUGGUGGAGAGACUUGGUGUGUGAUGGGAAUUAAAUGGAAGCACACCUGCUCAAACAAGGUUAUACCUUGACUGAAGAAAUGCAAAGAGCUGUCCCAAUCUAUUUUCUAUUUGAAAUAAAUGUUAAUUAAUUAUGUCUUAAAAUUAAUGAUCUGAAAUCAUUCUUCUAAUUUUGGCAUGUUAUUUGGUAUAAAUUAAAUGAAUUAAGUUCCCACCCUUGAGGUUUCAGGGUAAUUUAUUUUCAUUUCUGUUUAUGUCUGUAAAUACACAGGGUCUGUACAACACAUGAAAAUAAUUCAUUCUUUAUUAUAAUAUUAUAUAUUUCUAGGGACCAUUUUAGUUUUGAUCAGUUCUAUUAUGUGGCUAAGAAUAUAUCAAUGCAACACCUUUCAAGUGAAAUAAAUUACAGUACAUUUUAAAAUUUU